AGAGUUUGAUCAUGGCUCAGGACGAACGCUGGCGGCAUGCUUCAUACAUGCAAGUCGAACGAGCUUCCGUUGAAUGACGUGCUUGCACUGAUUUUAACAAUGAAGCGAGUGGCGAACUGGUGAGUAACACGUGGGAAAUCUGCCCAGAAGCAGGGGAUAACACUUGGAAACAGGUGCUAAUACCGUAUAACAACAAAAUCCGCAUGGAUUUUGUUUGAAAGGUGGCUUCGGCUAUCACUUCUGGAUGAUCCCGCGGCGUAUUAGUUAGUUGGUGAGGUAGAGGCCCACCAAGACGAUGAUACGUAGCCGACCUGAGAGGGUAAUCGGCCACAUUGGGACUGAGACACGGCCCAAACUCCUACGGGAGGCAGCAGUAGGGAAUCUUCCACAAUGGACGAAAGUCUGAUGGAGCAAUGCCGCGUGAGUGAAGAAGGGUUUCGGCUCGUAAAACUCUGUUGUUAAAGAAGAACACCUUUGAGAGUAACUGUUCAAGGGUUGACGGUAUUUAACCAGAGAGCCACGGCUAACUACGUGCCAGCAGCCGCGGUAAUACGUAGGUGGCAAGCGUUGUCCGGAUUUAUUGGGCGUAAAGCGAGCGCAGGCGGUUUUUUAAGUCUGAUGUGAAAGCCUUCGGCUUAACCGGAGAAGUGCAUCGGAAACUGGGAGACUUGAGUGCAGAGGAGGACAGUGGAACUCCAUGUGUAGCGGUGGAAUGCGUAGAUAUAUGGAAGAACACCAGUGGCGAAGGCGGCUGUCUAGUCUGUAACUGACGCUGAGGCUCGAAAGCAUGGGUAGCGAACAGGAUUAGAUACCCUGGUAGUCCAUGCCGUAAACGAUGAGUGCUAAGUGUUGGAGGGUUUCCGCCCUUCAGUGCUGCAGCUAACGCAUUAAGCACUCCGCCUGGGGAGUA
rnacentral:rRNA from 1 species